rnacentral:rRNA from 1 species
AGACCCGAAACCCGGUGAUCUAGCCAUGGGCAGGUUGAAGGUUGGGUAACACUAACUGGAGGACCGAACCGACUAAUGUUGAAAAAUUAGCGGAUGACCUGUGGCUGGGGGUGAAAGGCCAAUCAAACCGGGAGAUAGCUGGUUCUCCCCGAAAGCUAUUUAGGUAGCGCCUCGUGAAUUCAUCUCCGGGGGUAGAGCACUGUUUCGGCUAGGGGGCCAUCCCGGCUUACCAACCCGAUGCAAACUGCGAAUACCGGAGAAUGUUAUCACGGGAGACACACGGCGGGUGCUAACGUCCGUCGUGAAGAGGGAAACAACCCAGACCGCCAGCUAAGGUCCCAAAGUCAUGGUUAAGUGGGAAACGAUGUGGGAAGGCCCAGACAGCCAGGAUGUUGGCUUAGAAGCAGCCAUCAUUUAAAGAAAGCGUAAUAGCUCACUGGUCGAGUCGGCCUGCGCGGAAGAUGUAACGGGGCUAAACCAUGCACCGAAGCUGCGGCAGCGAACGUAUCACUUAAAGCGAUUCAGCGGAUGACGAUUGACGGAGCGAAGCGACGUCAAAGCGUAUAC